GACGAACGCUGGCGGCGUGCCUAAUACAUGCAAGUCGAACGAGUGGCGGACGGGUGAGUAACACGUGGGAACCUACCCAUCAGAGGGGGAUAACACUUGGAAACAGGUGCUAAUACCGCAUACGCUAUGAUGGACCCGCGGUGCAUUAGCUAGUUGGUGAGGUAAAGGCUCACCUAGGCGACGAUCCCUAGCUGGUCUGAGAGGAUGACCAGCCACACUGGAACUGAGACACGGUCCAGACUCCUACGGGAGGCAGCAGUGGGGAAUAUUGCACAAUGGGCGCAAGCCUGAUGCAGCCAUGCCGCGUGUAUGAAGAAGGCCUUCGGGUUGUAAAGUUCUUUCGGUAGCGAGGCGUUAACUACAGAAGAAGCACCGGCUAACUCCGUGCCAGCAGCCGCGGUAAUUC
rnacentral:rRNA from 1 species